rnacentral:lncRNA from 1 species
AUCCAGCGGUACAAUGGGUUGCUAAAGACUAUGCUGAAAGCAAUGGGUGGCGGAACAUUGAAGCAUUGGGAGAAGCAUUUAGCAGAAGCCACCUGGUUGGUCAACGCUCGAGGAUCAAUCAAUCGAGCUGGUCCUACCCAGUCUAGCUCCCUACAUACUGUAGAGGGGGAUAAGGUCCUUGCAGUACACGUAAAGAGCAUGUGGGGAAAGUGGUUUGGGUCCUUCCAGCCUCUGGAAAGGGGAAACCUCACCGUGGCACUGUGUUUGCUCAGGGACCUGGGUCCGUGUGCAUGGUGUGGGUUGGGAGGGUCCUGGAAGGUCACAGAACCAUGGUAUGGUGGGGGUUGGGAGGGUCCUGGAAGGUCACAGAACCAUGGCAUGGUUUGUGUUGGAAUGGUCCUGGAAGGUCAUAGAACCAUAGGAUGGUUUGGGUUGGGAAGGUCCUGGAAGGUCAUAGAACCAUAGGAUGGUUUGGGUUGGGAGGGUCCUGGAAGGUCAUAGAACCAUGGCAUGGUGUGGGUUGGAAAGGUCCUGGAAGGUCAUAGAACCAUGGCAUGGUGUGGGUUGGAAUGGUCCUGGAAGGUCAUAGAACCAUGUUUCCCCCUGCCCCGUUUUCCCUCUUCCUCCCGUUCUCUCCCAUUUGUUCCCCCCUGAACUCGGCUUUGCACCACGGGGGGAGCCACCAAAGCCCAGGGCGGGGAGCGGUGCCUCCGGGUUUGACCCCAAAUCCCAGCCCUGACCCCAAAUCCCAGCUCUGACCCCAAAAUCCACUCCUUGACCCCCAAAUCCCACCCCUUGACCCCAAAUCCCAGCCCUGACCCGAAAUCCCAGCCCUGACCUCAAAAUCCAGCCCUGACCUCAAAAUCCACCCCUUGACCCCAGAAUCCCAGCCCUGACCCCAAAAUCCCAGCCCUGACCCCAAAAUCCCAGCCCGGACCCCAGAAUCCCAACCAUGACCCCAAAUCCCAACCAUGACCUCAAAUUCCGCCCCUUGACCGCAAAAUCCCAGCCCUGACCCCAAAUCCAGGCUCUGACCCCAAAAUCCGCCCCUUGACCCCAAAAUCCCAGCCCUGACCCCAAAUCCCAGCCCUGACCCUAAAUCCCAGCCCUGACCCCAAAAUCCAGUCCUGACCCCAAAAUCCGCCCCUUGACCCCAGAAUCCCAGCCCUGACCCCAAAUCCCAACCAUGACCGCAAAAUCCCAGCCCUGACCCCAAAUCCAGGCCCUGACCCCCAAAUCCGCCCCUUGACCCCCAAAUCCCAGCCCUGACCCCAAAUCCGGACCCUGACCCCAAAAUCCACCCCGUGACCCCCAAAUCCCAGCCCUGACCACAAAUCCCAACCAUGACCCCAAAAUCCCAGCCCUGACCCCCAAAUCCCAACCAUGACCCCCAAAUCCACCCCUCGACCCCCAAAUCCCAGCCCUGACCCCAAAUCCCAGCCCUGACCCCAAAAUCCCCAUUUUU